rnacentral:tRNA from 1 species
CGCCGGAUGGAGCAGCUAGGCAGCUCACUGGGCUCAUAACCCGGAGGUCGUCGGUUCGAAUCCGACUCCGGCCA